UGCUGCCUACGGGGCGCAGCAGUGGGGAAUAUUGGGCAAUGGGCGCAAGCCUGACCCAGCAACGCCGCGUGAAGGAAGAAGGCUUUCGGGUUGUAAACUUCUUUUGUCAGGGACGAAGCAAGUGACGGUACCUGACGAAUAAGCCACGGCUAACUACGUGCCAGCAGCCGCGGUAAUACUUAGGUGGCAAGCGUUAUCCGGAUUUUUUGGGUGUAAAGGGCGUGUAGGCGGGAAUUCAAGGCAGAUG
rnacentral:rRNA from 1 species